GACGAACGCUGGCGGCGUGCCUAAUACAUGCAAGUAGGACGCAGUUGCGAACGGGGGAGUAACGCGUAGGUAACUCCCCUUUAGAGGGGGAUAACUAUUGGAAACGAUAGCUAAUACCGCAUACUAGUUGAUGGACCUGCGUUGUAUUAGUUAGUAGGUAGGGUAAUGGCCUACCUAGGCAACGAUACAUGGCCGAGCUGGGAGGGGUGUGGGCCACACUGGGAAUGAGGCAAGGGCCAGACGCCUACGGGAGGGAGCGGUGGGGGAACUUGGGGAAAUGGGGGAACGCUGGCCGGGCAAAGCCGGCGGAGUGAAGAAGGUGUUCGGAUCGUAAAGCUCUGUUGUUAAGGAAGCGGUACUUAACCAGAAAGGGACGGCUAACUACGUGCCAGCAGCCGCGGUAAUUC
rnacentral:rRNA from 1 species